UGUCAAGGACCCAGGGCUCACACCAGUGAAGGAACAGCAAAGCCUUCCCCCUUCCCCGGACCUGGGAAAUGGCAAAGCCUGACCGGGGGUGCGGGGCGGGGAGCAGGCGGAUUGAAUGCGAGCGUUGAGAGUGUGUGCAGAAAGCUUGUGCCGUAGCCUUCUCUGAAUUCUAUAGCCUGCACACUGCUCCUCAGACGCUGCUCCUCCUGAGACACAAUCCCACCGCCCCGGUCAACUCUCCACGACAAACAGGAUGAGCUUCUGCGAUGUUCAAGGUCAUCUGGCUACCGAGAGAGUUCUAGGUUAGCCUAGGCUACAAGACCUGUCUUAAAAAAAUAAAUAAAUAAAUAACAAGAAGACAGCUAAGUAGGGAGGCAAGAGGAUUACCAUGUGUUUCCGGCUAACCUGGGCUACAGAAAAAGACCCCACGUCAACAGGAAAGUUGGGAAGGGAAGAAGGUACCCAUGAGACACGGCUCUCCCUCAGGCUCAGGGACUCGCUCAGCAGCCUCCUCUCGCUUGCAGGACAUAGCCUGUAUCUCCAUCCUUGCCAGGCUGGCACAUCAGAGAAACCAAACGAGACCUGCAUCCUGAUUCCUCCUGCCUCACCCCUGGAUCUGAGUGUCUGGGGUUCAGAAGCCGAGCAAUCUGCAGCCUUUGAGUGGUUCACUGCCCCAAAGGGAGCCUUUGAUGGUGGAAGAGAAGCAUGUACAAGUCGACAGGCUGACCCCUGUCUCAAAUUGUGGUCUUAAAUUUGCCAGUCUGCGGGGUAAUCCUGGUACCCGCAAGUGUGGAAGCCAAAGCUAGCUAGUGCAGACCCUCUCUUCACCUACCCUGCCUCCCAGAUCCACCCCUUCUCUGUUUCCCUUCAGAAAAGGGUCGGCAGACAGAAGAAUCAUGGACCCAGCUGGUGCUCUCAACCACUGAGCCACGUCUUCAGCCCUAAUGUUCACUGAUGCAAGGUUUGUUAGUACUUAGGCACCUGCUUCUGAGUUGCCUGGCAACCUGUGAUGUCAUCAUGGCCAGCCAAGUGGCCACACGUGGAAGGCGUGGUUACCUUGCCCUUUAAAGGGAGCAAAGCAACAUCUGGUUUCUCUCUUGCUCUUCUUCCUCCCUCUUGCCCUCUCUUGCCUUCUCGCCCUCUCCCCUUUGUCAGGGUGCCCCCUCUC